rnacentral:lncRNA from 1 species
UUUUCUUUCACUUCAGGAUGUGCCAUUGCUUGAAACUGUUUCAUGGAAAGAUACUGCCUUGCUAGUGUUAGUAAUAACGUUGUUUUGGAUUUCUUUCCAACAGCUCAAGACAGCUCGGAGAGCAAAUAGAGGUAGGCAAUCUAUAGGUUUGUGACUAUCUGAAAAAAUGUCAUCAUUGAGUCACAAAAUUCCCAACAGUAGUCUCUGUCAUGAUCAAAACAAUAGCAUAAAUGUAUUCAAAUAAUAAUAAUAAAAAGUGGCAAUUAAUCGGUUACUGUUACAUAUAAGACAAUAUUGAUAAGAUACAAGGAAAGUAAGGUCAAAGUUGUGUUAUUAUUUGUUGAACGUCUGAUUGCGGAUAGGUUUUUGAUGGUCGGAGGCUGAAACCCAACAAACAUUAACAAACAAACAAAUAAGACAUAUUUUCACAAUAUCAAAAAGAAAUAGGAUGUUGAUGGCGACAGUUGAACUUCAUAAAGGCCCCAUAAUUGGCGUAAAACUGGAUUGCAAUUUUUUUUUUUUUGGUUUUUUUUUUUUGGGGGGGCGGGUAUUUCUGGCUUGAUGAUAGAUAUGUGAAACAAAACUACUAAAUAGUAAAAACAACUUUUUAAUGAAUUGGGACAAAGACCAUAACGAUCUCACUGCUUUUACUGUACGAUUUGUUUUUGUAAAGACAAAGAAAACAAAAUCAAAUCAGUUUUGACCGAAAGAUAGUGUUGCCAUUGGGAAUAAACCGACCGCUGACAAUGGUAUUGACAAAUCAGAAAUAAAUGAUAACAAGAAUGUGUCCAUAGUAUUCGGAUGCGCUACUUACAUUUUCAUUUUCUAUGUUCAUGAACCAUGCAAUUGGGGUCAAAACUCUAAUUUGGCAUUACCAUUAGAACAAUCAUAUAUUGAGAUAUAUGUGUACUAAGAUUUAAGUUGAUUGGACUUCUUUUUUUUUAUCAAAAACUUCCCUCACCAAAAAAUGUAACUAAAAACUUUAACCUGAAGUUGGACGGAAGGACAGACGGCCGGACGAACGCACAGACCGAAAAACAUAAUGCCCCUAGAUGGGACAAAAACAUAAAUACAAUACUACAUGUAUUUGAAAAAUAAAAUCGGCAAAUUCUGAAAAAUCAUUGUGUGACUAGUACGUUAUAAUUUUGCUGAAAUCAACGAACUAUUCCGUCAAAGCCUUGGUUAAAAAAAAAUUGCCGUCAGGUGUAUUGGUCUGUAAAUUUACUUUAAAAGGGACAUUGUAACAAUCACAUGAAUUCGGCAUCCAUACCAUCACACUUGUAUGAGAUACCGAUGCACUUCUUGAUUUAAUGACCGCCUUCAGUACGCCAGUAUAUAUACGUUAAUAGCUUUAUUUACCCAUUUGCACGUUUUUUUUUAUUAUGCCUUGAUGUUAAGGUGAUUUGUAAUUCUUUACUCAAAAGAAACUGUUUAUCUUUAAUAGUAAUUAAAACUUUAAUAUUCUUUUUUUUGUACAGAAUUCGGGAGCAUUAUCAUCCAAUGUUCUUAUGGUUAUGACGAAGUUUCGAGUAUCUCGAAUUUUUACACAGGUAUAUAUAUACAUACAUUGUGGUGUGAAUAAAAAAUAAAAGAAAAUCUUUAAUAUUUAUUAUAUCAAGUGACAAUUAUUGCACAUAUACAGGUAUGCAUGAUUACACAAAAUCGUGUUUUUUUUUGUUUUUUUUUUUUACACUAAAUCGUUACUGAAGUGCGGCUGCUGAUUUUACAGUAUGAAAAGGCUUGAUUAAUGCUCAGCAAAUAAUUUGAUUAAUUUAACUAACAAGUUUUCAGUACCGUUUGGACAAUUUCUAAACAAUGUAGGAUUAUUCAGCAGAAUUUGGAAUGUUGUUUUGUUUUCUUGCUUUUAGACAGUUCUUGUCCAUGACAGUUCUUGUCCAUUCGUUUUUUAUAUGUUUUGUUAUUUGAUUUUGCCAUGUGAUUAUGGACUUUCCGAAUUGAUUUUCCUCUAAGUUCAGUAUUUUUGUGAUUUUACUUUUAAGACUUUUUAAUUGUGUGCUUUAAUUUUCAAUUGAUUUCAAACUGGAAAGUGAAAUCGUUGUGGUAAUUCAUACACACAACUUUCAAAAUACAAGCUGCAAUGACAAGUUUUUAACAAAGCUAGUGGCAACGAAUUGACUAUUGGAAAUGAAUGAAAUGUUGAGAGAAGGUUUUCAAUGAGAGCACUAUUACCCCCAUUGUAUUGAUCAUGUGUAUUGCUAUCAAAAUGUAUUUCCUAGCACAGAAAAAUUGAUAUAAAAAAGAUUUUGAACAUCCUAUCAAAUAAUCUAAUCUAACCUUUUAACCUUGUGAAAAUAUUUUUUUUUAUGUUAGAAACGGAGCAAAAGUUCCUCGAGUUGGAAAAAAAGAUCCAACGUGUUGAAUUCUAGAUUUGAAAAGAUAAAAGAAAAAGUACCGUUACAAGAGGAUCGUGAUCAAACACAGAAGGAUGUGGAAUAUCUUAAGAAAAUCUGGUUUAAGCAAUAUUCAGCUUUUAGCCGCCUUCUUGGUGUGGACCUGCUGGGAACUGGAUACGAUGGAGAUUUGAAACGCGAUUUGGGCGGUAUCAGAGAUUACUUUGAUAAGUUUAAUAUUUACCAUAGCAGGGACGUGAAAUAUACAAAAUUAAAGGGACUUUCAAAUCCAGAAAUCGAAAAUAAACUGACAACGCCAUGACUUAAAAAGAAAAAGACAAACAGACAAACAAUAG